GACCUCACAAAUCGAGGAACACAGGGAGCCACGCCAGCUGGUACUGUUGGAGGUGGUGGAUAGUAUCCUUGAAAAUUGGAAAAAGCAGGUGAGGAGUGCCUACUAGAGUUACAUUUCAUGUCUCCCUCAAGAGAGAGUUUCCAGCAGAUGGACAACAAUUAGUAAUGAGAGAUUCUGCAGGUACCUUACCUGGCCCUAGAAACUGACAUCCUCGUGCCCUGACAGCAGCCCAAAGAUUGGCAGAAAGCUGCUGAGGAUUUUGGUGCUGCAAGAUCAAUUCUG